rnacentral:rRNA from 1 species
UACAGAGGGUGCAAGCGUUAAUCGGAGUUACUGGGCGUAAAGGGCGCGUAGGCGGUGAUACAAGUGAGAUGUGAAAUCCCUGGGCUUAACCUAGGAAUGGCAUUUUAGACUGUGUGACUAGAGUGCAGUAGAGGGUGGUGGAAUUUCCGGUGUAGCGGUGAAAUGCGUAGAGAUCGGGAAGAACAUCGGUGGCGAAGGCGCUCUACUGGACCACAACUGACACUCAGGGACGAAAGCUAGGGGAGCGAAUGGG